GGCCGCGGGCGACUCCUGGUACCCCCGAGACCCCGCGAACUCACCUUCACAAAGCUGUCGGCGUCCGGAAAGCCUGGCAGUACCAUCUCCCCGUCGGAUUUGGUCUCGCUGGUAGCCGACUGGACCCUGGACUCGCGGGUAAGCUCCUGAAGAAAGCGUCUAGCUCCCACUGUGCUUCCUCCCUCCAGUGCCCUCUGAACUCCUCCAGAAAGACGUUCUUUCCUGCGGACACUGCUGGAACCAUUCUGGUUAACCCAGAGUGGGAACUCAAUACACAUUUGUGAAGUGAACUCCUGGAAAAGCUCUUGUGAGGGAGGCACCAAAUUAUCAGGCAGCUCAGGAGACAGAUUCACUCUCCUGAAAUCAGAGAUGGGAUGCCCUUAAUACAAUUCAUUCCACCCAUUAAGUGUUCAAUAAAUGUUCAGCAUAUCCAAUUAAGAGAA